rnacentral:piRNA from 1 species
AUUCCUUUAAAAUAAAUCUGUUGGA